rfam:Picea glauca, whole genome shotgun sequence.
ACAUGCCUACAUCAUAACGUUAAUGCAUCGGAUCCCAAUAGAAAUCCACAGUUAAGCGCUCUCAGGAUAGACUAGUACCGGGAUGGGUGACCUCUCAGGAAGUCCUACUAUUUUACAUGCC